rnacentral:rRNA from 1 species
GUACACUCCUGCGGGAGGCAGCAGUGGGGAAUUUUGGACAAUGGGCGAAAGCCUGAUCCAGCAAUGCCGCGUGAGUGAAGAAGGCCUUCGGGUUGUAAAGCUCUUUUGUCAGGGAAGAAACGGUGAGAGCUAAUAUCUUUUGCUAAUGACGGUACCUGAAGAAUAAGCACCGGCUAACUACGUGCCAGCAGCCGCGGUAAUACGUAGGGUGCAAGCGUUAAUCGGAAUUACUGGGCGUAAAGCGUGCGCAGGCGGUUUUGUAAGUCUGAUGUGAAAUCCCCGGGCUCAACCUGGGAAUUGCAUUGGAGACUGCAAGGCUAGAAUCUGGCAGAGGGGGGUAGAAUUCCACGUGUAGCAGUGAAAUGCGUAGAUAUGUGGAGGAACACCGAUGGCGAAGGCAGCCCCCUGGGUCAAGAUUGACGCUCAUGCACGAAAGCGUGGGGAGCAAACAGGAUUAGAUACCCUGGUAGUCCC